rnacentral:rRNA from 1 species
UACAGAGGGUGCAAACGUUUGUUCGGAAUUACUGGGCGUAAAGCGCGUGCAGGCGGCCUUGCAAGUCGGACGUGAAAUCCCACGGCUCAACCGUGGAAGUGCAUUCGAAACUGCGAGGCUGGAGUCCUGGAGAGGAAAGUGGAAUACUCGGUGUAGAGGUGAAAUUCGUAGAUAUCGAGUGGAACACCGGUGGCGAAGGCGGCUUCUGGACAGGUACUGACGCUGAGACGCGAAAGCGUGGGGAGCAACAGG